GCAGAUCAAGAGCAUCUCAUCCUCCGGCUGCUGAGUCAUCCUGCUCUGGCAGUUAUUUAAACAGAAGGCUCCAGGAGACAUACAAUCAACACUCCACUCAGACAAUGCCCAGACCUCCAGAAACCAUGUGUCAAGCUCGGAUUGCCUUAGACAGGUGCAAUUUAAGAACAGCUUUCAUCCUCUUUUCUCUCAUAUUGUCACACUAUGUGUUCUGACUUCUGGCUCCUUUCCUCACAAGAAGCUCACCCAGCUGGAACUCUUAUGGGACCUUGGCACCAGAGACCACAAAUUCCUCUUUGAAGUUUUCUAACAGCAACAAUGGUAUUUCUGACUUGGCUUUCUUGUAUUUCUCUCACGUUAACAAAAUUGGUUCAGCAUCUACCAUGGGCUACAUGCUGAGCUACAGAGUUUCGCUCUGUCGCCCAGGCUGGAGUGCAGUGGCGCGCGAUCUCGGUUCACUGCAAGCUCCACCUCCCGGGUUCACGCCAUUCUCCUGCCUCAGCCUCCUGAGUAGCUGGGACUACAGGCGCCCGCCACCACACCCAGGUAAUUUUUUGCAUUUUUAGUAGAGACGGGGUUUCACCGUGUUAGCCAGGAUGGUCUCGUUCUCCUGACCUCAUGAUUCACCCGCCUUGGCCUUCCAAAAUGCUGGGAUUACAGGCGUGAGCCACUGUGCCCUGCCAAAGGCCUUUUCAAAUCUAACGAUGUACUCACAUUUCCACCUGUCUGCCAGCCCUUGUCCAGUUUGACCUGGGCACUCACUGCUGCUCUGGUGGUGAGUACUGCUGAUGGUUCUUUUCCCUGCCCAUCCUUGAGGUGCUCGCUUCAAUAUGUCAAAUGAGGACUCUCAUUACAUUUGGCUGUCAUACAUCAGCCACAACUGUCCUGCCCAGAAGAGCUGGCCUUGGCUUUAAAGCCUACAUCCUGGCUGACCUUCUUUACUGCUUUAUUAAGGAAUCCAACUUGCUGUUUGCUAUCACAUGUGCUAUACAUGCUGUUGAUGAAACUGCUAAAGGGGCUGAAUGUGACUGACGUCUUUGGAAGGAUGAGACUUAGCGUGCCUGUACAGUUGUGUCCAAAUGCUGUCCUCAUCUCCCAAUGAAAAGGUAUUGUAAAUAAAGAGAAAGAUCAGAGGCUUAUUUUAAACACUAAAUAUGAGCUAGGAGCUGUCCUAGACACUAUGUAAAAGUUUUAUUUAGUUCUCACUGUAAUGUUGGCCUUAUGUUAGCAUCCCAUUUUUCAGACUGAGGAAAUUAUGGCUCAGAGAGGUUAAGAGACUUAUUGAAGGUCACACAGCUCCACAAACUUUGGUGUAGAUUGAACGUGUACAUGGGUCUAUGUGACUUUGAAUCUUGCAUUCUUUACAUUAUUGGAAUAUUUCACAGAAGGAAAAUGACAUAUUAACAUGGCAAUAAGAUUUCUGGUUCCAGUCUGGUUACUGGUCUUCCAAGAGUGUUAUAGGAUGUAUAGCCUGAGCUCUGAAGCUUUGUUCUGAAGCAUGCUAUCAAUAUGAACAAAUUGGUAUGGAAGGAAGCCACAAAUUAUAUACUAAAAUCUAGUUCAUCAGAGGAAAAUAUAGUUAAAUACAUUUACAUUCCCAGAACUGUUAAUAUUGAAGAAUAAAACACACAGUGGGAAAGAGACGAAGAGAAAAUACGCCUGUUUUUAUGACUUGUUGAUAUCUACAGGGUUUUUCCUUAAGCCUCACAACAAUUUACAGCAUUGCCAGCAGCAUUCAGUACAUUCAGAACAGGAUAAUUUCACCCGCAGCUGAACUAGGGCCAUGCCUGGGACAGACAGAGAAUGGCCUUCCAGCAGACAUGCCAAGAAGCAAGCCAGGGUCAGUGAGUGAAGAGGAGGGCAGGCCCAUUUGAAGCAACACAGUUUAUGUAAGUGUGAUCUAACUGCUUUCACUGGAAAUGGGUCAGACUCCAGUUGAGAGAACCAGGGGCCUGAAUGACCCCAGCAAAAUCACUGUGGCAAUUCUUUCAAUCACCUCUGAGAAUAUGGCCCUGUGACGACAUAAUGACGUUUGGAUUAAUUCCAGUCGGCUGUGUUUUCCCCUCCUUUCUUGCCUCCCCGUAGUUGAUUUGCCAAAUUUUUUUUGUUUGCUUAAAUACGCGGAACUAAACAGGAUACAUUAUAUGACAGUCUGUGAUAAAUUUACCACUGGGAAUAGGGAAAAAGUAUGGGAUAAAGAAAUAGGUAUUUUUCGCCUCUCACAGCUGUGAUUCAGUUCUGACUCAAAAGGAAGUGUGCCACCUACUGAAUCACAGAAACCACUUCCUGUGGCUGUUUGGUUUAUUCUGGAGGAGCAUCAGGCCAAGUGCUGCCCUGCCCUGACCCUGACUGGCUCUUCAGAGCCAAGGCAUUCACAGCUUGAGGUGGUUUGGCCUCAGACUCUUGAGAACAUUGCAUAUUAAAUUACAAGUGUUUCGUUUCCUAGCAAGGAGUCUUUAGCAACAUGAAAACGAACGUGUGUUAUUUGCAAACCAAGUAUAUCAUUACUGAACCUGAAUAUCCUUACUUUUUCAUAAGAUACAUGAAAAGAAAGAAGGAGAGAAGGAAGAAAGGAGGGCGGAAGGAAAGGAAGAAGGGAGAGAAGAAGAGAAGAAAGAAGCAGAGAAAGGAAGAGAAAAGAAAUUACGGCCAGUGCGGUGGCUCACGCCUGUAAUCCUAGCACUUUGGGAGGCCUAAGCGGGCUGAUCACCUGAGGUCAGGAGUUCGUAAGCCAGCCUGGCCAACAUGGUGAAACCCUAUCUCUACUAAAAAUACAAAAAUCAGCAGGGCAUGGUGGUGCGUGCCUGUAAUCCCAGCUACCUGGGAGGCUGAGGUAGGAGAAUCGCUGGAACCCGAGAGGCGGAGGCUGCAGUGAGUUGAGAUCAUGUCACUGCACUCCAGGCUGGGCAACAGAGUGAGACUCUGUCUCAGAAAAAAAAAAAAAGAAAGAAAGAAAGAAAGAAAGUUACCAUUAGUUUUUUGUUGUAUUUGCAAGCAAAGACAAAAGCACCAAGGUACUUGUUUCCUUCUGUAAUUAGAGUUUCAAAUAGACUAAAAGUUUCUGCUCUUAGGUGGGUCUAGAGACUCUCCAGUACCUCAGGACCUCAGGACACAUGGGGUCUCUUGGUUGUUUUCUUUUCAUUGUUGUUGUUUAUUUUAUUUUUGUUUUUAUUUUUUAACUUUAAAACAAUUUUUUGUAGAUGAAUAUGCUUACAUAUGUUUGGGGGUUUUUUUGAGACAGGGUCUUGCUCUGUUGCCCAGGCUGGAGAGCGGUGGUUUAACCACAGCUCACUGCAGCCUCGACCUCCCAAGGUAGGGACUGCAGGUGUGUACACUGGGGUGCACCACCACACCCAGCUAAUUUUUAAAUUUUUUUUUGUAGAUAUUGUCUCACUCUGUUGGCCAGACUGGUCUUGAAAUCCUGGGCUCGAGCAAUUCUCCUGCCUCGGCCUCGUAACGCGUUAGGAUUACAAGCGUGAACACCGCACCUGGCCAGCAUGUGGUCUCUUAACCAGAGGAGGCCUCUUCUGAACUAGGAACAAAACCCAUCAGAAGAUGUCAGAAGAUAAGGAUUUUUGUCCUGAUGCUACACUUACCAGCUGUCCCUCAGUGUUCUACUUCUUAAAAAAAGAGAGAUGGAUAAACAGAGGCAACCCGAGGAUAAAGGCCUUGCUCAGUGUCACACAUUUCAGUCACUAAAUAAGACACAAUGGAUGCCAGUAUUCUCAUCCCCUCACAAAUAAAGAGCCUUCAAGCUCUUGCAGUCAACAAGAACUUUUGGAAUGAUUUCACUGCCUGAAAAGGCAGAUACAUAGGUGACACCCACAAAUAGGAAGAAAAUCAACCUGAACCUGAGUGUGUGGGCUCACUGACUCUAAGCAGUAGAGACAGAAGAAAAAGUUUUAGCAAAGAAGGGUUCUGAAAGAAAAUAAAUAUAGCUCGUUAUCAAGUGCUGUUUUUACACAGUAAAACAUGGGCAAAAUUACUCUUCUUUAAGUAGUAAUUCUUAUCUCUUGAUUAAGUCACCUACUCAUUCAUUUAAUAAAUACAUACUGAUUGUUUUCUAUGUGUUGAGCACUCAUCUCUGUAUUGGAAAUAUAAUAAUGACCAAAGUUGACAAUAGUAAUAACAAUAAUAGCUAAUAUAGCAGGCACUAAUAAUUAUUUGUUGAGUAAUAUGUCAAAAUUCAGUGUGAACAGCAUUCUAUUUGGGGCUGCAUCCACUGACUAUAACACAGCUAAUCUAUCUGAAAUGUUCCAGCUUUGGGCCUCUCUAACAGAAGAAGCUGUUGUUGGGCCUGCCUCUAGUUGGCGAUGCAUCCACCAAUGAGAAUGAAUUUAUGAUCGACCACUCUUCCUGUAAAGGCCGCUGGAACUGACAGCAUUGUGAUUUUCUUUUACUGUUAGUUUUAAAUUACUAGAACCAACUCAAUUACUAGAACGAACUUUACUUCUUUGUUUCCUACUUAUCAAAACAGUAAAAACAACAAGUAAAAGAAAUGCCAUCUUAAUAUUGUUUUGAUGACAAAACAGUAUUCCUUUUAGUUGUGCUUCAAAUGGAAUAAGAUGCAAACAGGCUUGGUAUGGUGGCUCACCCCUGUAAUCCCAGCCCUUUGGGAGGCCAAGGUGGAAGGAUUGCUUGAGGCCAUGAGUUUGAGACCAGCCUGCGCAACAUAGCAAGACCGUGUCUCUACAAAAAAUAAAAAAUUAGCUGAGUGUAGUGGUGUGUGCUUGUGGUCCCAGCUACUUUUGAGGCUGAGGAGGGAGAAUCUCUUGAGCCCAGAAGGUCGAAGUUGCAGUGAGCCGUGAUCGUGCCAUUGCUCUCCAGCUUGGACAACAAAGCAAGACCCUAUGUCAAAAAAUAAAUAAAUAAAAGACAUAAACAUAUCUGAGAUUAACUUUCAGUGGUAAAUUUGUUCCAUAUAUGAUUUUUAAGGUUAAAUGCUUUGGAAGCUUUAAAAACCAUUUCAGCCCUUUUAAAUGCCAACUUACACUGAUGAUGCUCUCAGAUGUUAGGAAAUCUUUUGAGCAGAAAAUGGAAGUGGGGGUGUUGAGGCAGGGAGGAGAGUGAUGCAAUAUUCCUUAGUGUCAUCCUGUGAUUUCACAAUUUGUUUUUCAAUCUGUUUGGACUUUCAAAAGGGAAGACUCUCAUAUGUCAACAAGCCCAUGAACUGAAGCUUAAAACACUGGAAACAACAACUGUAGAGUUUCAAGUAUAUGUACAUUUAUGUAUUCAUGUUCCUUGAUGGGAAUGCUGGCUGGUGUGAAUGUUCAAUCUCCUGAGAAAUGUAAAUUUUUCUCUGACAGAUUUAUUAGCUUGCUGUAUCUGAGCACAUGAGCAAAAACAAUGCCUAAUAAGAAAACUUUCUCUCUCCUUCAAAGUCAAACUUGGGAGAAAUGAAGGGAAAUCGAGUUUUCUUUGCUUGACAGUGUUCAACAUUCUUGUAGUCAGUGUGCUCAUGAAGAUUGCAAACUUUUUUUUUUUUUUAGAGCAGCUAGGACUACAGGCGCGCACCACCACACCCAGCUAAUUUGUGUAUUUUUAGUAGAGAUGGGGUUUUAACUAUGUUGGCCAAGCUUGUCUCAAACUCCUGACCUCAAGUGAUCCAUUCGACAGCUCUUUCUUUUUUUUUUUUUUUUUUGAGACAAAGUCUCGCUCUGUCACCCAGGCUGGAGUGCAGUGGUAUGAUCUCAGCUCACUGCAACCUCCGCCUCCUGGGUUCAAGCAAUUCUCAUGCCUUAGCCUCCCGAAU
rnacentral:lncRNA from 10 species